AAAUUUAAUUUGUAAACUAAAGUAUUAAUAGUUAUAUUCUUUAAACUUAAAAAAUUUGGCGGUAUUUUAGUCUGUUCAGAGGAACCUGUUUUGUAAUCGAUAAUCCUCGUUGUACCUUACUUAAAUUUAUAUUAGUUUGUAUACCGUCGUUAUAGAAAAUUUUAUAAGAAAAAUAAUUUUCAAUAAAUUAAAUUAAAUUAUAUAUCAGAUCAAGGUGCAGCAUAUAUUUAAGUUUUUAAUGGGUUACAAUAAAAUAAUUUAUGUGAAUUUAAAUAUGAAAAAUUUAUUGAAAAUGGAUUUGAAAGUAAAAUUAUAAAGAUUAAUAAUUUGAUUUUAGCUCU
rnacentral:rRNA from 1 species